rnacentral:rRNA from 1 species
UCAGGUGACUAUAGCAUCAGGGUUCCACCUCUUCCCAUUCCGAACAGAGAAGUUAAGCCUGAUCACGCCGAUGGUACUGCGU